UCGCCGGGCGGGCCGGGUCGGUUUCGUCGAUGUCGACGACGAGGACGUGACCGGGGUCCGAUUCCACGUCGUCGAA
rnacentral:tRNA from 1 species